UCAGCUAAGUAUUCGGCAUACAUACACAUGCUCUGUGUAUGUACCAAGAACUUGAUGCGAACAGUCGCUGUGACUUUAUUCGUGCAUAUUUUCUUCGACAUUUAAUUAAUAAUUAAUCAUGAGUCUUGACCAAGAAAAACUGCAAAGUGCUCUGGAAAAAAUGGUCAUUUCCGAUGGGAUACAUUCCGAGUACAAUAAGAAGGCUGUCACAAUCGAAUACUUUUAACGUUUAAAUGAGCGCCAUCAUAAAUUCUAUGCAUUUACCAUUUUGUAUUGUAAACUGCAAAACGAAAAUUACAUUUUGUAUUUGUUUCCAAAUAAGUUCAUAAAUAUGUAUACUCCUGAAAA